GCCAUGGUGGCAUAGCGGUAUAGUGGUUAGCACUGUCGCCUCACAGCAAGAAGGUCGUGGGUUCGAUUCCAGCCUGGGGCC